rfam:Gossypium arboreum cultivar AKA8401 contig_34658_1, whole genome shotgun sequence.
AUCGCAUGAUGAGGGUAUUUUCGUAAUAAUUUUUUAAAUCUUUCCCAUACCUCAUAUAAAGAUUCAUCAUCCAAUUGCUGAAAAGUUGUGAUAUCAUUCUUCAAUUU